GUCCCUUCAGAGACAUGCGAUAAAAUUGGAACGAUACAAAGAAGAUUAGCAUGGUCCUACUCCCUGCAUCAUGGAUGACAUGCUUCAGGCUCCUCAAGAAACAUUU
rnacentral:snRNA from 1 species